GCAUGCUUGCGGCGGCUCGGUUGCUGAACCCUGCCACAGCGCGGCUGAUAAACGCAUCGACCUCUCGAGCGGAAGUACGAUAGAAACAAGCGAGGAAAUUCCACCAAGAUAUUUUUCACGUUGCGGGCAGCUGGGAAAAGGUGUCGCAAUGCUUCGCAAAUGUAUGCGACAGAAAAAAAGGGACGAAGCGGCAUCGCUAUAAAAGCCAUCGCCGCUGCAACUGCAACUGCAAAUCGCGCUUCGACGAUCGGCAAGUAUACGUCCGCUGCGAGAAUGAAAACUUCCACGUUCAUCGUUCUGCUGGUGGUAGGCGCCUGCCUCGUUGCCGGCAGCGACUCCCUGGUGGCUAAGCCGAACGCGAGGGCAAAGAGGAGCGACUGUGUCUACGAAGAGUGCAUGGACGAAGAGUGCGCUGCGCGCGGCAUGCAGUGCCGGCCGAAGGGGUGCGGAGGCUCCCACUGCGUGUAGCCCGUCAUCACGGUGGAUGUAAUGGAGCAGCGCUUCGCCAUGGGAAGAGUUCAUGGUUCCUCAGACUCAAGUGGAGCUUAAAGGAAGCAAGAAAGAAUGGCGAACAGGAUGACUGCGAAUUUUAUAUGAGGUCGUCGGCAGAUCCAACUACUCAUGAAAAAUUAAAAUUUACCAAAACGAAAAGCGAUCUUACCCACUGUUGUAUACUUUGGCAAAGUCACUUCAUUUGUAGUCGCACAGGAGGUCGGCUUCAACAUGACAAUACUUUGUAUAGUACAUCCUUGCGUUAUGCAUCGAGAACCUAUUCAAAAGCCUCUAUAUUUUCGGAUUAGGCUUAUGCGUUGUUUUCGGCAACAGAAUUCCGCCAUACAUUGCGGCGCUGUGGUUUCGCUUGUAAGAAAUCACUGCAUUAUUUUUGGCAGUGCCGAAAAUAAUACAGCAUAAUGUCGAUACCUCUCUCUUCGAACAGAGAAACUGAUUAUUCACUGUAUACCUUUAGUGCGGCUCUAAGUUUUCAUCGUUUAUUUUAAUGCCAUGCCACAUCAGCUAAACUUUUUGUCUAUUUAAUAUAUAUUAACACAAAACAUAUUUGCAACAAGUGUAAUGAAAUCCUGACUCGCUGUCGUUGACGGGACUUAACUUCACAAAGCACAAAUGUAUGCUAUACUUUUACAAAAGCAUGCCAAAACAUACCGCGGAUCAGUCUGCGCGCUUCUGUUCAUCAUGAAUCGCUGUGGCGGCCCGAUGGCCCGUGCGCAGUACUUGGGUGCACACCGCAGGUGGUCGAAAUUAAUCUGCAGCCCCCAAGUACGGCGUCCCUGAGCCACUCCGUGAGUUGCUGCGGAACAUCAUGUUGCGUAUCUUCAUUAAAUUUUAUCAUUUACUUAUUCCCAUUGGAUACGGGCUCGUGUCCAAUACAAUAUUUCAGCGACACCCCCUUCUGGCGUCGCCUGUGACUGCCUGACAACAACACAUGGGCAUGUUCCCGUCUUAUAUGCGGAAACAGAAUCGCUCACUCCCUUUGGGAUAUCGGUGAACUUCUAUUUGUUGUCAUGGGGACUAUUCUGGGAAUCUCGAAAUCGAAGCCAGCCUGUUUUUAACGCAAGUACGUGAUCUGCUGCCAAAGGAAGCUUUUGGAACGUAACCCAGUUAUCGUUAUCACACGAGGAACCUCACUACUGACAAGCUUUCAGAAAUCUGUUCAGAAAGCUUGCACGAAGUGUAUUGGGGCUUCAUGGGGUGUUAUCACGAGGCCGAAAAAAUACUACGCGCUUUACCAGUGUAUUUCACCGCAGAUUUUGGGUGUGGAUAUUCUAAAACCGCAAAGACGUCUGAAAGGGUGUGAGAGCUUCUAUUUCCGUAUAUAAGACGGGAACACGGUCAUGUCUUGUUGUCAGGCCGUUGCAGGUGACGCCAGAAUCUAGUUGCCUCUCACUUAAUCACCCUGUUUCGAUUUAGGAAGUUAGUAUCGCUACGCAGCGAAAUGGCAACAACAGUUUUGAAGAUCUUAAUCAAACUGUCACGGGAUGAAUUACUUUACACCGUCUCUCAAACACUGUGCAAAUCUUUAACUGUAGUCUGAAGUACUCUAUAAGCGGUUUUUAUGCGAGCGUGACUGAUGCGUCCUUGUUUAAAAUAAAUAAUUAUAGUAUUCA